rnacentral:rRNA from 1 species
GACGGGGGAUGCAAGCGUUAUCCGGAAUCACUGGGCGUAAAGCGUCUGGAGGUGGUGAUGCAAGUCACUGGUGCAAAACUCUGGCUCAACCGGAGGAAAGCCAGUGAAACUGCAUGACUAGAGUGUGGGAGAGGUAGAAGGAAUUCCCUGAGUAGCGGUGAAAUGCGUAGAUACAGGGAAGAACACCGGAGGCGAAAGCGUUCUACUGGAACACAAAUGACACUGAGAUACGAAAGCUAGGGGAGCGAAUGGG